rnacentral:rRNA from 1 species
GACGAACGCUGGCGGCGUGCUUAACACAUGCAAGUCGAACGAAGUGGCGAACGGGUGAGUAACGCGUAAUCAACCUGCCCUUCAGAGGGGGACAACAGUUGGAAACGCCUGCUAAUACCGCAUACUGAAGGAGGGGAUUGCGUCUGAUGAGCUAGUUGGAUGGGUAACGGCCCACCAAGGUGAUGAGCAGUAGCCGGUCGGAGAUGAUGACCGGCCACAUUGGGACUGAGACACGGCCCAGACUCCUACGGUGGGCAGCAGUUGGGAAUCUUCCGCAAUGGACGAAAGUCUGACGGAGCAACGCCGCGUGAGUGAUGACGGCCUUCGGGUUGUAAAGCUCUGUUAAUCGGGACGCGGUACCGGAAUAGAAAGCCACGGCUAACUACGUGCCAGCAGCCGCGGUAAUAC